UGAAGUGUCGUUGGUGACGGAUCAGACACAAUGCUUCAAACACCUUUCUCUGUCUCUGUGCUCCUGUAUGUGAGUUUUAGAGUGUGUUUGUGUCUGUAUGUGAGAGAGAGGGGCUUUAUGUAUAAAUGUAGACGUACCAAACUGUUCAGACUGACAAACUUUAAAAAAAUAUCUGUUGUGAUUUGAGCUCAGACAAACCCAGAAAACGAGAACUGAAGGAAAUUUAAAACUUCUGUCAUGGAUUCAAAUUUGGUAGAUAUACACUGAACAAGG